ACACUGCUGACGAGUCCCAAAUAGGACGAACCAACUGUCCAGUGC
rnacentral:hammerhead_ribozyme from 1 species